CUACAAAUGAUGUGGCAGGCGAUGUGGCCGGCGAUGGUACCACUUUUGCAACAGUCCUCACCCAUGCCAUAUUUGUUGAAGGAUGCAAAUCUGUGGCAGCUGGAAUGAAUGCCAUGGACCUAAGACGUGGGAUUUCAAUGGCAGUUGAUGCGGUUAUGACAAACUUGAAGAGCAGAGCAAGGAUGAUUAGCACAUCUGAAGAAAUAGCACAGGUUGGAACAAUAUCAGCAAAUGGAGAAAGAGAGAUUGGUGAGCUGAUAGCCAAGGCAAUGGAGAAAGUUGGCAAAGAGGGUGUCAUUACCAUCUCUGAUGGGAAAACAUUGUACAAUGAGUUAGAGGUCGUUGAAGGAAUGAAGCUGGACAGAGGCUACAUAUCUCCUUAUUUUAUCACCAAUACAAAAAACCAAAAAUGUGAACUAGAAGAUCCUCUCAUUUUAAUUCAUGAGAAGAAGAUCUCAAAUUUAAAUGCUAUAGUCAAGGUUUUGGAAUUGUCCUUGAAGAGGCAAAGGCCUUUGCUGAUUGUUGCUGAAGACGUGGAAAGUGAAGCACUAGCAACUCUCAUUCUGAACAAGCUUCGUGCUGGAAUCAAGGUCUGUGCCAUAAAAGCACCAGGAUUUGGAGAAAAUAGGAAGGCCAGCAUGCAAGACCUUGCCAUUCUCACAGGGGGCGAGGUUAUAACUGAAGAGCUUGGUAUGGACCUUGAGAAGGCAGGAGUAGAAGUGCUGGGUUCAUGCAAAAAGGUUACAGUAUCAAAGGAUGACACAAUUGUUCUUGAUGGGUUUGGUGACAAAAAAGCCAUUGAAGAAAGAUGUGAACAGUUGAGAUCUGCAAUCGAAUUGAGCACUUCUGAUUAUGAUAAGGAAAAGUUGCAAGAGCGACUUGCUAAGCUUUCUGGUGGUGUUGCAGUUUUGAAGAUCGGUGGGGCUAGUGAAGCUGAAGUUGGUGAGAAGAAGGACAGAGUUAAUGAUGCUCUGAAUGCUACCAAGGCUGCUGUGGAGGAAGGCAUUGUACCUGGUGGUGGUGUUGCACUUCUGUAUGCUUCUAAAGAGCUGGACAAGUUGCAAACUGCGAACUUUGACCAGAAGAUUGGUGUCCAGAUUAUUCAGAAUGCUCUCAAGAUGCCUGUACACACCAUUGCUUCCAAUGCAGGAGUAGAGGGGGCAGUUGUUGUUGGCAAGCUUUUGGAGCAGGACAAUCCUGACCUUGGAUAUGAUGCAGCCAAAGGUGAAUAUGUUGAUAUGGUGAAGUCAGGAAUCAUUGAUCCAUUGAAAGUCAUUAGAACAGCCUUGGUAGAUGCUGCAAGUGUCUCCUCUUUGAUGACUACAACUGAGGCCAUUGUAGCUGAACUUCCCAAGGAUGAGAAGGAUGCCCUAGCCAGCAAUGGCAUGGGCAACAUGGGUUAUUGAAACUCUUUGGACCGUGACAGCGAUGCUGUGAUUUGAACUUUGACAGAAAAUCAAUUUUUUAGUGAACCACAAGGUUGAGUUACAACAAAUAUGCAAUUUAUACAUGAGCUGAGCUCCUUUUUCUCUCAAAUCUAAUACCCUGUUGAAUGCUUAUAAAUUUUUUGUUUGCAAGUACUCUAAGCUCCAGCCAGAUCUACCGGCCAAGGGCCAAGUAAAUUUUAAGUUGCAAGUGAAAAAGAUCAAGAGAUGGGCUUUUUAUAUAGUUUUUUAAUUAAUUUUAUUUAA
rnacentral:misc_RNA from 1 species